rnacentral:rRNA from 1 species
GUGAGGAAUUUUGCGCAAUGGGGGCAACCCUGACGCAGCGACGCCGCGUGGAGGACGAAGUCUUUCGGGAUGUAAACUCCUGUCAGUGGGGACGAUAAUGACGGUACCCACAGAGGAAGCACCGGCUAACUCCGUGCCAGCAGCCGCGGUAAGACGGAGGGUGCAAGCGUUGUUCGGAAUUACUGGGCGUAAAGCGUACGUAGGCGGCAAGUUAAGUUCAAUGUUAAAGCCCACGGCUCAACCGAGGAGAUGCAUUGAAUACUGGCUAGCUAGAGGGUGUUAGAGGAAGACGGAAUUCCCAGUGUAGCGGUGAAAUGCGUAGAUAUUGGGAGGAACAUCGGUAGCGAAAGCGGUCUUCUGGGACACACCUGACGCUGAGGUACGAAAGCGUGGGGAGCAAACGGGAUUAGAAACCCCGGUAGUCC